rnacentral:misc_RNA from 1 species
GAUGAAGAACGUAGCGAAAUGCGAUAAGUAGUGUGAAUUGCAGAAUUCAGUGAAUCAUCGAAUCUUUGAACGCACAUUGCGCCCCCUGGUAUUCCAUGGGGCAUGCCUGUUCGAGCGUCAUUUGUACCCUCAAGCUUUGCUUGGUGUUGGGCGUCUUGUCGUAUUACGACUCGCCUUAAAUACAUUGGCAGCCGGCACUUUGGCCUAGGAGCGCAGCACAUUUUGCGAUCGUAGCCCGUUGUACUGGCGUCCAUCAAGAACAUUUACCACGUUUGACCUCGGAUCAGGUAGGGAUACCCGCUGAACUUAAGCAUAUCAAUAAGCGGAGGA